rnacentral:rRNA from 1 species
UGGGGAAUUUUGGACAAUGGGCGAAACUGAUCCAGCAAUGCCGCGUGUGUGAAGAAGGCCUUCGGGUUGUAAAGCACUUUUGUCCGGAAAGAAAUCCUUGGCUCUAAUACAGUCGGGGGAUGACGGUACCGGAAGAAUAAGCACCGGCUAACUGCGUGCCAGCAGCCGCGGUAAUACGUAGGGUGCAAGCGUUAAUCGGAAUUACUGGGCGUAAAGCGUGCGCAGGCGGUUUGCUAAGACCGAUGUGAAAUCCCCGGGCUCAACCUGGGAACUGCAUUGGUGACUGGCAGGCUAGAGUAUGGCAGAGGGGGGUAGAAUUCCACGUGUAGCAGUGAAAUGCGUAGAGAUGUGGAGGAAUACCGAUGGCGAAGGCAGCCCCCUGGGCCAAUACUGACGCUCAUGCACGAAAGCGUGGGGAGCAAACAGGAUUAGAUACCCUGGUAGUCCACGCCCUAAAACGAUGUCAACUAGUUGUUGGGGAUUCAUUUCCUUAGUAACGUAGCUAACGCGUGAAGUUGACCGCCUGGGGAGUACGGUCGCAAGAUUAAAACUCAAAGGAAUUGACGGGGUCAUAGCUGUUUCCU